GACGAACGCUGGCGGCGUGCUUAACACAUGCCAGUCGAACGGAAAGGCCCUGCUUUUGUGGGGUGCUCGAGUGGCGAACGGGUGAGUAACACGUGAGUAACCUGCCCUUGACUUUGGGAUAACUUCAGGAAACUGGGGCUAAUACCGGAUAGGAGCUCCUGCUGCAUGGUGGGGGUUGGAAAGUUUCGGCGGUUGGGGAUGGACUCGCGGCUUAUCAGCUUGUUGGUGGGGUAGUGGCUUACCAAGGCUUUGACGGGUAGCCGGCCUGAGAGGGUGACCGGCCACAUGGGGACUGGGAUACGGCCCAGACUCCUGCGGGAGGCAGCAGUGGGGAAUAUUGCACAAUGGGCGGAAGCCUGAUGCAGCAACGCCGCGUGCGGGAUGACGGCUUUCGGGUUGAAAACCGCUUUCGCCUGUGACGAAGCGUGAGUGACGGUAAUGGGUAAAGAAGCACCGGCUAACUACGUG
rnacentral:rRNA from 1 species